CAAGUGUCUUCAACAUGCCUU
rnacentral:siRNA from 1 species